UGCGGUCACCCCCGAGCAAUACCUCCGAAAGUUUAGGGAGACCAGGAAAGGGGAGAAGCAGUGGGCAGGCCACAUCACUAGGGCCACCCAGAACUGGCUCAACUCCCAUCAAACCAAGUUGCCGGUGGAGAUCACCCAGCUCGUCAUGAGAGCACUUUUUCAACGCAUUCAUAUGUCAUCCAUAUCCACUUUCUGCGCCUACCAUGGUGACCACGGGUAACGGGGAAUCAGGGUUCGAUUCCGAAGAGGGAGCCUAAGAAACAGCUACCACAUGUGAGGAAGGCAGCAGGCGCGCAAAUGACCCACUCCCGACGCUGGAAGGUAGUGACG